rnacentral:rRNA from 1 species
CCUACGGGAGGCAGCAGUCGAGAAUCAUUCACAAUGGGGGAAACCCUGAUGGUGCGACGCCGCGUGGGGGAAUGAAGGUCUUCGGAUUGUAAACCCCUGUCAUGUGGGAGCAAAUUAAAAAGAUAGUACCACAAGAGGAAGAGACGGCUAACUCUGUGCCAGCAGCCGCGGUAAUACAGAGGUCUCAAGCGUUGUUCGGAAUCACUGGGCGGAAAGCGUGCGUAGGCGGUUUCGUAAGUAGUGUGUGAAAGGCGCGGGCUCAACCCGCGGACGGCACAUGAUACUGCGAGACUAGAGUAAUGGAGGGGGAACCGGAAUUCUCGGUGUAGCAGUGAAAUGCGUAGAUAUCGAGAGGAACACUCGUGGCGAAGGCGGGUUCCUGGACAUUAACUGACGCUGAGGCACGAAGGCCAGGGGAGCGAAAGGGAUUAGAUACCCGGGUAGUC